rnacentral:rRNA from 1 species
GAUGAACGCUGGCGGCGUGCCUAAUACAUGCAAGUCGAGCGAAUGGAUUAAGAGCUUGCUCUUAUGAAGUUAGCGGCGGACGGGUGAGUAACACGUGGGUAACCUGCCCAUAAGACUGGGAUAACUCCGGGAAACCGGGGCUAAUACCGGAUAACAUUUUGAACCGCAUGGUUCGAAAUUGAAAGGCGGCUUCGGCUGUCACUUAUGGAUGGACCCGCGUCGCAUUAGCUAGUUGGUGAGGUUACGGCUCACCAAGGCAACGAUGCGUAGCCGGGCUGAGAGGGAGAUCGGCCACACUGGGACUGGGACACGGCCCAGGCUCCUACGGGAGGGAGCAGUGGGGAAUCUUCCGCAAUGGACGAAAGUCUGACGGAGCAACGCCGCGUGAGUGAUGAAGGCGUUCGGGUCUUAAAACUCUGUUGUUAGGGAAGAACAAGUGCUAGUUGAAUAAGCUGGCACCUUGACGGUACCUAACCAGAAAGCCACGGCUAACUACGUGCCAGCCGCCGCCGUAA